UCUUAAUGAAGGAUUGAGGAAGAC
rnacentral:piRNA from 1 species